rnacentral:ncRNA from 1 species
GUUUUAUAUCCUAAAACGAGGAGCUGGCAUCAGGCACAACCUCCGGUUAGCCCACGACGCCUCGCUUAGCCACACCCCCAAGGGAGUUUCAGCAGUGAUAAACCUUAAGCCAUAAGUGAAAACUAGACUUAGUAACAGCUAAUAAGGGCUGGUAAAACUCGUGCCAGCCGCCGCGGUUAUACGAGUGGCCCAAGUUGAUAAAAACCGGCGUAAAGCGUGGUUAAGGUCCCAACUCAAACUAAAGCCGAACCUCCUCACAGCAGUUAUACGCUUAUGAAGAAACUGAAGCUCCGCCACGAAAGUGGCUUUACUACCCCCCCCCCCCGACCCCACGAAAGCUAUGGCCCAAACUGGGAUUAGAGACCCCACUAUGCGUAGCCGUAAACCCUGACAGAUUUUUACAUCCCCUGUCCGCCCGGGCACUACGCGCGUCAGCGUAAAACCCAAAGGACUUGGCGGUUCUUUAGACCCCCUAGAGGAGCCUGUUCUAUAACCGAUAAUCCCCGUUUAACCUCACCCUCCCUUGCCUACCCCGCCUAUAUACCGCCGUCGUCAGCUACCCCUGUGAAGGAUGAACAGCUAGCAAGAUUGGUACCGCCCAAAACGUCAGGUCCAGGUGUAGCGUAUGAGAGGGGCAGAAAUGGGCUACAUUCGCUAAUUUAGCGAACACGAACGAUGUACUGAAAAAAUACAUCCGAAGGAGGAUUUAGCAGUAAGUAGGAAGCAGAGCGUCCCACUGAAGCCGGCUCUGAAGUGCGUACACACCGCCCGUCACUUUCCCCGAACAAUAAACACACGAAACUAACUAAAAUGCUUCGAACCGUUAAGGGGAAACAAGUCGUAACAUGGUAAGUGUACCGGAAGGUGUACUUGGCAAUAUAA